CGUAACGCGUGAAGUUGACCGCCUGGGAGUACGGCCGCAAGGUUAAAACUCAAAGGAAUUGACGGGGACCCGCACAAGCGGUGGAUGAUGUGGAUUAAUUCGAUGCAACGCGAAAACCUUACCUGCGCUUGACAUGCCAGGAACCCCGAAGAGAUUUGGGGGUGCCCGAAAGGGAGCCUGGACACAGGUGCUGCAUGGCUGUCGUCAGCUCGUGUCGUGAGAUGUUGGGUUAAGUCCCGCAACGAGCGCAACCCUUAUCCUUAGUUGCUACGCAAGGGCACUCUAAGGAGACUGCCGGUGACAAACCGGAGGAAGGUGGGGAUGACGUCAAGUCCUCAUGGCCCUUAUGCGCAGGGCUUCACACGUCAUACAAUGGUCGGUACAGAGGGUCGCCAACCCGCGAGGGGGAGCCAAUCCCAGAAAGCCGAUCGUAGUCCGGAUUGCAGUCUGCAACUCGACUGCAUGAAGUCGGAAUCGCUAGUAAUCGCGGAUCAGCAUGUCGCGGUGAAUACGUUCCCG
rnacentral:rRNA from 1 species